UAGCUCAGUCGGUAAAGAAUCUGCCUGCAAUGCAGAAGACCUGGGUUCAAUUCCUGG
rfam:Ovis aries breed Texel chromosome 5, whole genome shotgun sequence.